rnacentral:rRNA from 1 species
GGAUUAGUACGCUGGUCGUGCCAUUGGUAUGUACUGGUGUUACUGAUUUCUACCUUCUGACGAACCGUCAUGUCAUUAAUUUGGUGUGGCGGGAAAUCAGGACUGUUACUUUGAAAAAUUAGAGUGUUUAAAGCAGGCUCGCGCUUGAAUACAUUAGCAUGGAAUAAUGAAAUAGGACGUUCGAUCUUAUUUUGUUGGUUUCUAGGAUUGACGUAAUGAU